rnacentral:lncRNA from 1 species
UUGAGAGUUAAGAGACUAAUGCCAAGAAAGAAGAAGAGAGAAUAGAAGAAGAAGAGAAAGGCAAGAAAGAAGAAGAGAGAAAGGAAGAUGAGAGACGAGAAAGAGAGAGAAGAGAAGAGGAAAAUACAAAGAAGGAGCUCUUGCUACUAAUGCCAACCCCUACUCUUACCAAUGCAAUGAAACUUAAAAGGGAAGAGUUCUCAUUCCUUAGUUCUUUUCCAA